GCUAACGGAGACCGCCUGUCCCCCACCUGUGAGCAGGUGCAGUGGCAGCAACCUGAGGAGCCAGUGUGGACAGAGCUGAUGCUCCGUGCGGGAGGGGCAUCUUCCAGGAGGCUGACCGCAGACCAGCUCGGGAGCUUUUUCUAACAGGGGCAGGAGCUGGGGCCUAGGAGGGCAUGUAUGCUUGAAACUACUCUAGUCACCUCUGCAUCUGCUCUUAAAGCUCUUCAGUGGCCUGCCUUCCAUGGCUGUGAAGCCCAGAAGGGAGCUGACUGCACAACCAAUUUCCCUGACAAGUUUCUCCAGUGGACAGCUCCAGGACUGGGAAGUGAAGAUGUAGCAAGACCAGGCCAGCAGGGGGCGCAGCUCAGAAAGAAGGAGGGAAGGAUGGCUGUCUCCUUCACAGCACAUGUACAGGACAGAGCAAGCGAGGCAGAACACUCCUUACACAGAUGCAGUGCGAUCACAGCCUCACACGCCAGCUACCAUGACUCCCACCCUGACGGACCAACCAUACCUUCAGUGACUCAUACGCUAAGGGAAACUCGGAGCUUGCCUGCCUGCCUGCUGUAGUCAGGCUGUCAGCCAUAGGGCUGCAUCAGCAGCACCAGACAGCCACAGAGCCUCUGUGUCAGAGGCCUGGGCAGCCAUCUAUCACACACCACUAUCCCCCUGCCCUGCAGGACUGUAAAUCGUUUAGACUCAGAGCUGGGUGGCUGUGGCCCUCAAUUCCCAGGGCAGGGGCAGUGAGGCGCCAUGAACACCUCAACUCCUGCUCAUAAACAGCCAUCCAUCUCCCAGACUGAAGACACCGACCCUCAACAUGAACUUCAUGAGAAGGCAAGAAGGAUGCCAGUGUGGACAGCAGCAAGGGGGGUGGGGCGUGGAGGGCAGGGGCAUCACACUGAAAGGAGGUCCGGGUG